rnacentral:misc_RNA from 1 species
AUCCAUCAACGUAGUCAGACUUUGUCUUGUGCUACGAUUGCAUGAAUGAAGGCUGCUGGAAGAUUUUCCAGCUCCUUUUAAAUUGAUUAGCGGGAAUGCUUUUUCAGCUCUGGUUUGAUAAGCUUGUCUAUGCCUUUGCUGAUGCUGUUGAUUUUCGCUUCUAAUCGUCCGUUUGGACUGUCUUUCGAGACAUGUCUUGA